rnacentral:rRNA from 1 species
UACGUAGGGGUCGAGCGUUGUCCGGAGUUACUGGGCGUAAAGCGUGCGCAGGCGGCUCAUCGCGCUCGGCGUGAAAGCCCCCGGCUCAACCGGGGAGGGUCGUCGAGGACGGGUGAGCUUGAGGGUAUCAGGGGUUGGUGGAAUUCCCGGUGUAGUGGUGAAAUGCGUAGAGAUCGGGAGGAACAUCAGUUGCGAAGGCGGCUCUCUGGACCAGCACUGACACUGAGGCACGAAAGCGUGGGGAGCAAACAGG